ensembl:lncRNA
CUUUAUUCCACACCACACACCUGUCCUCCCAGUGGGUUACUUUAUGCAGAGAAACACACACACACACACUCACACACUUUACUUUUAGUGUGGACAUUUAUUAAUGAGGAUGGAAAGAUGGAAACUUCCAGAAAUGUCCCACACUCUGUCUCCUCAGGCAGAAGGGAAAGUGCUGAGAUUUGCUGACUCAGUGCAGAGCUAAUGCAGACGAGGCCAUUACACGGUCUAUACAGUGCGUAGAAGUGUGUGUGUGUGUGAUAGUGUGUGUGAGUGUGUGAGUGUGUGUAUGUGUGCGUGUGAGAGUGUGAGUCUGAGAGUGUGUGUGUGUGUGAGUGUGUGUGUGAGAGUGUGAGGUGUGUGUGUGUGUGUGUGAGUGUGAGUGUGUGUAUGUGUGCGUGUGAGAGUGUGUGUGAGAGUGUGUGUGUGUGAGAGUGUGUGUGUGUGUGAGAGUGUGAGUGUGAGAGUGUGUGAGUGUGAGUGUGUGUGAGUGUGUGUAUGUGUGCGUGUGAGAGUGUGUGUAAGAGUGUGUGUGUGUGUGUGUGAGAGAGUUUUUGUGAGAGUGUGAGUGUGCAUGUGAGAGUGUGAGUGUGUGUAUGUGUGCGUGUGAGAGUGUGAGUCUGAGAGUGUGUGUGUGUGUGAGUGUGUGUGUGAGAGUGUGAGUGUGCGUGUGAAAGUGUGAGUGAGAGUGUGAGUCUGAGAGGGAGUGUGUGUGUGUGUGAGUGUGAGUGUGUGUAUGUGUGCGUGUGAGAGUGUGUGUGAGAGUGUGUGUGUGUGAGAGUGUGUGUGUGUGUGAGAGUGUGAGUGUGAGUGUGAGAGUGUGUGAGUGUGAGUGUGUGUAUGUGUGCGUGUGAGAGUGUGUGUAAGAUUGUGUGUGUGUGUGUGUGUGUGUGUGAGAGAGUUUUUGUGAGAGUGUGAGUGUGCAUGUGAGAGUGUGAGUGUGUGUAUGUGUGCGUGUGAGAGUGUGUGUAAGAGUGUGUGAGAGUGUGUGUGUGUGUGAGUGUGAGUGUGUGUGUGAGAGUGUGUGAGUGUGAGUGUGUGUGUGAGAGUGUGUGUGAGAGUGUGUGAGUGUGAGUGUGUGUGUGAGAGUGUGUGUGAGAGUGUGUGUGAGAGAGUGUGUGUGUGAGAAUGUGUGUGAGAGUGUGAGAGUGUGUGUGAGAGUGAGAGUGUUUGUAAGAGUGUGUGUGUGAGAGUGUGAGUGAGUGUGUGUGAGAGUGUGUGUGAGAGUGUGUGUGAGAGUGUGUGUGAGAGUGUGUGUGUAUGUGUGCGUGUGAGAGUGUGUGUAAGAGUGUGUGAGAGUGUGUGUGUGUGAGAGAGUGUGUGUGUGACAGAGUGUGUGUGAGAGAGAGUUUUUGUGAGAGUGUGCAUGUGAGAGUGUGAGUGUGUGUAUGUGUGCAUGUGAGAGUGUGUGUAAGAGUGUGUGAGUGUGUGUGUGUGAGUGUGAGAGUGUGCGUGUGAGUUUGUGUGUGAGAGUGUGCGUGUGAGAGAGUGUGUGUGAGUGUGUGUAUGUAUGCGUGUGAGAGUGUGAGUGUGUGUGUGAGAGUGUCAGUGUGUGUGAGUGUGUGUAUGUGUGCGUGUGAAAGUGUGCGUGAGAGUGUGAGAGUGUGUGUGAAAGUGUGCGUGAGAGUGUGAGUGUGUGCGAGAGUGUGUGUGAGAGUGUGUGCGAGAGUGUGUGUGAGAGUGUGAGAGUGUGUGUGAGAGUGUGAGUGUGUGUGUGGAAGCUGUAACUGAGACCAUGUGACUCUAGGUAAGAGAAUGAAAUAGAAAAUCAGUACAGUGUUUAAAUACAGAGAUAUUAUUCAUGUUUAUUUAUAAUCUGACCUCAAACACCACGAUACUCUAUCUCUCUCACUCUCUCUCUCUCCCCCAUACUCUCGCACUCUCUCACUCGCACUCUCUCUCUCCCCCAUACUCUCGCACUCUCUCACUCGCACUCUCUCUCUCUCCCCCAUACUCUCGCACUCUCUCACUUGCACUCUCUCACUCUCUCCCCCAUACUCUCGCACUCUCUCACUUGCACUCUCUCUCUCUCCCCUAUACUCUCGCACUCUCUCACUCGCACUCUCUCACUCGCACUCUCUCUCUCUCCCCCAUACUCUCACACUCUCUCACUUGCACUCUCUCCCCCAUACUCUCGCACUCUCUCACUUGCACUCUCUCACUCUCUCCCCCAUACUCUCGCACUCUCUCACUCGCACUCUCUCACUCGCACUCUCUCUCUCUCCCCCAUACUCUCACACUCUCUCACUUGCACUCUCUCCCCCAUACUCUCGCACUCUCUCACUUGCACUCUCUCUCACUUGCACUCUCUCACUCUCUCCCCCAUACUCUCGCACUCUCUCACUUGCACUCUCUCACUCUCUCCCCCAUACUCUCGCACUCUCUCACUUGCACUCUCUCACUCUCUCCCCCAUACUCUCGCACUCUCACUCGCACUCUCUCUCUCUCCCCCAUACUCUCACACUCUCUCACUCGCACUCUCUCUCUCUCCCCCAUACUCUCGCACUCUCUCCCCGAUACUCUCUCACUCUCUCUCCCCAUACUCUCUCACUCCCCAUACUCUCGCACUCUCUCACUCUCUCCCCCAUACUCUCUCACUCUCACUCCCCAUACUCUCUCUCUCUCACUCUCUCUCCCCAUACUCUCUCACUCGCACUCUCAAUCCCCAUACUCUCUCUCACUCACACUCUCUCUCUCACUCGCACUCUCUGUCUCUCACUCUCUCUCCCCAUACUCUCUCACUCGCACUCUCAAUCCCCAUACUCUCUCUCACUCACACUCUCUCACUCACUCACACUCUCUCCCCAUACUCUCUCUCACUCACUCUUGCCCACAUUCUCUCAUACUCUCUCUCUCACACACACUCUCCUCU